rnacentral:rRNA from 1 species
UAAUUGAAGAGUUUGAUCAUGGCUCAGAUUGAACGCUGGCGGCAGGCCUAACACAUGCAAGUCGAGCGGUAGCA